rnacentral:lncRNA from 1 species
AACUUGACUAAAGAUCACAUUUUCAGAGUUGUUAACUAUUUAAAGGUAAAUUUUUCUAGCAUCUGAAAAUGGCUAAAACACAUGGCUAAGGCUGCUGCUGGUCCAGAAGAACAUUUUGACACCCCACCCCCUUUUUUCCUUUUAAAAAGUAGGGGAUGUGGGUUUGUAAAAAAAAAAUAUAUAUAUGUAUAUGUAGAGAGAGAAAUAUCCCGUUGACCAUUUUUAGAAGGCUCCAGAUUGGGUAUUGUGUUUUAACCAAAUUUUAAAGAUUACCAGGGGAAUUGUGGGAGGGUCAAAGACUUGUUACAACUAUGCAGAUUUUAUAAAUGUGCAAUAAAAGUAUUUGUUUUACCUUUGGU